CAUGGUUUACGUGUUUUAACUAUUAAAUGAAAUAGAGUAAUUUAUUUAUUUCUUCUCCUUACUCAAAAAGUCAAAAUUAAUAAAAAGUGCAAACCUUGACUGUAUUGAACUACUAUAUAUAAAAUUGGCUCCAUAUUAGGAUUAUUCUAGAUUAAAAUUAAGCGAGAUCUGCUACAAAACUUAUUUCUUUUAAUAAACAAUUAGCUAAUAAAAUUUUAAAUGUAUAAAAUUAAGGGUUUAGUUGAUAUUGUAUAGAGAAAUUGGGAAAUUUAGAAAAUAAAUAUAUUAUGUUAUUAUUAGGGAAAAAAACUUAGUUGUUCUAUACUAAUCAGUUUUAUUAUCUACUUUUGCUUUAUAGAGGAGGCAGAAUAUAUUCACAAGCUCAGAAAACUUUUCAAGGUUGCCUAUCGUCUUCGAGAACUCAAACCUGGGGAGGCUGUUUUGGAUUGGCCUACGAGAAAAAAGUGGCUCUGGGAACAGCCCGAGGCCUAGAAUAUCUUCAUGAGCAAUGCAAUCCUAAGUUUAUUCAUCGGGAUGUGAAGGCAGCUAAUGUAUUACUGGAUGUGAAGGCAGCUAAUGUCACUUCUGUAGCUAUAUGUCACUAGUUAUUGUUUGAUUUAUCUUGUAAUAAAAAUUGCAUACUUUAUUUAUAGGUUUAGUAAUAAAAAAAGGAUUAAAAAUUUA